rnacentral:tRNA from 1 species
GCUGGUGUGAUACAGUGGUUGAGUAUUGGACUAGGAUUCCAGUAGACCAGGGAUCAAAUCCCUGCUCAGCC